CAAAGCCUUUGACGCGCGCGUUCUCAUUUUCCGCUUUCAAAACAGGGGGAAAACACCCCAAAAAAUCAAAGUUUUCCCUUUGAAGAAGCCCAAUGAGGGAAGAAGUUAUCAGCUCCGGAGGUACCAUGGAUCCCACUCCUGCUGCUAGUUCUGCUGGGGCAUCCUCCCCUACUGUCCCAGCAAAUGCACGUGCUUCCAAAGCAGCCUCUCUAUCUCUAUCUGGUGUUGGCUCGCAAUUACCGUGGACCUCCUUGAGCACCAGUGCUGGUGGUUUUGUUCUUGGAUCAUCAAGGCCUUCAUGCAGGCCAUGGGAAAGAGGGGAUUUAUUGAGGCGGUUGGCUACUUUUAAGCCGUCAAAUUGGUUUGGAAAGCCUAAGAUUGCUAGUUCAUUGGCUUGUGCUCAAAGAGGUUGGAUGAAUAUUGACAUUGAUAAAAUUGUGUGUGAAUCAUGUGGUGAAUGCCUGAGUUUUGUUUUGUUACUGUCCUGGACCCCAGCUGAAGUUGAAAGUGCUGCUGAAGCAUUUGCCAAACAGCUGGAUGAUGGCCACAAGGCCAGCUGUCCGUGGAGAGGUAACAGCUGUCCUGAAAUCUUGGUGCAGUUCCCUCCAACUCCUCAAUCUGCUCUAAUUGGGGGAUAUAAAGACCGAUGUGAUGGGCUCUUGCAAUUUCAUUUUCUUCCUAUUGUUGCUGCAUCUGCAGUUAAGCAGAUGCGGGUUUCUUGGGGUCCAGUGGUUGAUCGCUUUUUGUCCCAGUCACAGAAUUUUACUUCUGGAGAAGGAGACUUCAAGUCAGAGGGCAUACCAGAACUUGAGACCUCUAGAGAUGGGAACUCCUGUUUGUAUUCUCAUGCCCAAAAGCUUAUAAGUCUCUGUGGGUGGGAACCAAGAUGGCUCCUAAACAUUCAAGACUGUGAAGAACAUUCCACUCAAUCAGCUCGCAAUGGGUGUUCUUUUGGGUGUUCUUUUGGUCCUGCCCAGGCCCAAGUCCAUCUUUCACAUGAUCCUGGUCCAAGCAAGAAAGCACAUUCUGCUUCAGCCAAAAAGGACACUGGAAAGAAUAAACUGUUAGCUGAGUCAAGAUGUGAUUCCAGGUCACCCUUACUAGAUUGUAGCUUAUGUGGUGCUACUGUGAGGAUACUGGAUUUCUUGACUGUUGCUCGACCUGCUCGUUUUACCCCCAACAACAUUGAUAUACCAGAUGCAAGCAAGAAAAUGGCAUUGACACGUGGAGUGAGUGCAGCAAGUGGAAUAAGUGGUUGGGUUGCUGCUGACGACACAGAGAAAGAGCAUACAGAAGACCGUGAUGAGGUGGCAACAACAGACAAGGGUAAAUUGCUGCAAAACUCAGAAGUUGAUCUGAAUCUUACUAUGGCAGGGGGCUUACCUUUUGCUUUGGCAGACAGGGCAGCAAUCCUUGAAAAUGUUCGUGAUGUGGAAAUGGGGAGAGAUUUAAUGAUAGGUCAGCCUUCAGGCAGUGAGGUUGGUGAUCGUGCUACUUCUUAUGAAUCACGAGGACCUAGUUCUCGUAAGCGGAACUUGGAAAUAGGUGGCAGCUCAGAUGAUAGGCCUCAUCUGAUGAUGCAACCUGUUGAUAGUGUUGAGGGAACUGUCAUUGAUCGUGAUGGUGAUGAAGUCACAGAUGGUAGACAAUUUUCAGCUGGACCUUCAAAACGCGCUCGUGACUCAGAUUUUUUUGAUACACGCUGCUCACCAUGUCAAAGAGACUCGUCUGGUGCUGGUCCUAGCUAUUCACUGGGUAUGCAAAUUUAUGCAGAUGGAAAUAUAGUUACUUUGUUUCAUCAAGGAAGUGACCAAGUUGUUGGAAUUCCAUCAGCUAGGAAUUCAACACGUGCAUCAUCUGUCAUUGCAAUGGAUACAGUCUGUCAUAACAUAGAUGGUGAUUCUAUGGAAAGUGUUGAGAACUACCCCGGAGAUAUUGACGAUGUUCAUUUCCCCUCUUCCAGUACGCAUGGCAAUCUGGACAUGAAUGAGACAUCUGAACUGAAUUAUAGCAAUCAAGCCCAGAAAAGCAUUUGUGUCAGGCAUGCUGCUGAAGUAGUUCCUGGAGAAAUGGGUGUCAGUAGUACUAAUGAUGGUGAAGGGGUUUUCAAUGCAGAAACAGUAACAGCUCAGGCUCGAGAUUGUCCUAGUUUUGGUAUUAGUGGAGGCAGUGUUGGCAUGUGUGCUAGUCAUGAAGCUGAAAUUCACGGGGCUGAUGUUUCUGUCCAUAGAGCAGAUAGUGUGAUUGGUGAUGUUGAGCCCAGAAUAGAAGACCUUGAAAAUCAAGGUCAGACUGGUGAAUCUGUUCCUGAUCCUGGAUUAAUGGAUGAGGUUGUUCCUGAUGAAACAAACAGGGAAGAUCCUCAUGGUGAUAGCCAAGAGAUGUCUCGAUCUGUGGAAAGGGCUGAUAGUGGCUCAAAAAUAGAUGGUUCUACAAAGGUUGAAUCUGUUGAAAGUGGUGAAAAGGCAAGUCAAAGCUGUAAGUUAGCUCUAGAUAAAAAUGCCCACCCUUCUCUUUCCUGCAAUGCAAAUAUGUACUCUGGCUAUCAAACAACUAAGAAAGGGAUUAGCAAGGCUGGAAGAUCAUCCUUUACAAACAAUUGUCCUUGCAUUGAGUCAGAUUAUGCUGUUGCCAAUGGGAUAGGGCCUCCAAAAGGUGAAAGCAACUAUGAAGAGGCUAUAGAGUUUGAUCCACUUAUUCAUCACAAGCAAUUCUGUCCAUGGGUGAAUGGAAAUGUUGCUGCUGCUGGUUGUAGUAGCUGUGGUUCUGGCAACAAUGCUGAUGUGGUUGCACUUUGUGGGUGGCAGCUGACAUUGGAUGCAUUAGAUGCUCUGCGAUCACUAGGGCAAAUUCCAAUUCAAACAGUACAAUCUGAGUCAGCAGCGUCAUUGUACAAGGAUGAUCGUCAAACUCCUGGUCAACAGCUCCUUCGACGGCAUUCUAUGAACAGAAGCCAUGUGCAGCAUUGAUAUUUAAUCAGAAUAGUAAAGGUACUUGCAAUUAUUAAUAAGAUCAUUUCAACUCAACUAAUAUUUGCCCUGAGCUUCCUGUGGUGAACUGGUAAUACACCUUUUUACAUGUAAUUGUCAUUGACUAGAAUGAAGCAGUUUGUGCUGUCCCAUUUUUAUUUGAUGAAUUGCAUUGGAACUCGGAGAGAGAGAGCCAAUUGAAACUCCUUCGCAAUUCCAUUAAGUUUGAAAGAACAAAAUACAUAUGAGUUGAGUUGAAUGGAAUGUACACAAUUAAAAGAAUUUUUUGGGAUUUGAUAGCUGGACUCUUGAGGUGAAGUCAUGUCACCUAUGAAUGGAGAAGUAGACCAAAAUUGAGGAACUCAAGUUUCGAUGGACAAGAAAAAGGAAAUGAAGAAUGCUGCCAUGCAUGUAGGGACACGCGGAUGAAACUAGCAGAUAUUUGAUUAGAAGAUUUCGAAAUCUGUCCUCCACGUAGGGUCAGAAAACAGUACUUUACCGAGGGAGAUUGCGUCCUUCCGUGUCCAUCGAUUUGAGGUGAUGUAAAUUCGCGCGUAUUAGGACUUUCUGCAGAAUUCGGGGACAAACGAAACAACUUGUCAUUUAUUCCUGCAACCUCUCAAUGUGAAAUUUGAGUUCAAACUAUAUGAGUUACAAUAUCACCUUCUACCUCAGGUGAUAGAUCUUUCUUUUGCUGUCUGUCAAGACUUUGUGCCUGAAACUUUUCCUUAGCCCACGCGAUUGCUUCAUCAAUUGAAAUUGCUUCGCUAGCUGCUUCUCUAUGGUCAGAAUUGAUCUCAAUGACAUAAGAGCUCAUAACUUCAUCUGCCGCCUGUUCCAUUUCUUCAUCUUCCGCCUGCUUGCCGGCACUUGCCUCCUGUUCUUGACAAAGCGAAGAGACAAGAGAUGACGGGGAGUUGACCUCUAAAUCAUCCACAGAUACUUUGAUGCUUUGAUACGAAUUGGGUUCGAGACUAAUGGUUUCUGGGGAUGAGACCUGCCGUGAAACUUUGAUAUAGGAGCUUCUGAAACUGUCAUUGUAUUCAUUUUCCAUGUAAUAAUUGUCCGCAUGGGAAGGAAAAUUUCUUGGAAAAGAUGGCAUCUCUUCUUUC